UACGUAGGGUGCGAGCGUUAAUCGGAAUUACUGGGCGUAAAGUGUGCGCAGGCGGCCGAGCAAGUCGAGUGUGAAAGCCCCGAGCUUAACUUGGGAACUGCGCUCGAAACUACUUGGCUAGAGUGUGGCAGAGGGGAGGUGGAAUUCCACGUGUAGCGGUGAAAUGCGUAGAGAUGAUGGAGGAACACCGAUGGCGAAGG
rnacentral:rRNA from 1 species